UACGUAGGGGACGAGCGUUGUCCGGAAUUACUGCGCGUAAAGGGCAGGCAGGCGGAUCCAUAAGUUUAUCGUUUAAGGCGUCGGCUUAACCGGCGUAGGGCGGUAGAUACUGUGGAUCUGGAAUGCGGUUGGGGAAGACAGAAUUCCUGGUGUAGCGGUGGAAUGCGCAGAGAUCAGGAGGAAUACCGAAGGCGAAGGCAGUCUUCCAAGCCGUUAUUGACGCUCAACUGCGAAGGUGUGGGUAUCAAACAGGAUUAGAUACCCGCGUAGUCCCU
rnacentral:rRNA from 1 species